UGGCCUCCAAGGAAACCUUGCAAAGUAGA
rnacentral:piRNA from 1 species